rnacentral:rRNA from 1 species
GGAUGAGCCCGCGGCCUAUCAGCUUGUUGGUGGGGUGAUGGCCUACCAAGGCGACGACGGGUAGCCGGCCUGAGAGGGUGACCGGCCACACUGGGACUGAGACACGGCCCAGACUCCUACGGGAGGCAGCAGUGGGGAAUAUUGCACAAUGGGCGGAAGCCUGAUGCAGCGACGCCGCGUGAGGGAUGACGGCCUUCGGGUUGUAAACCUCUUUCAGCAGGGAAGAAGCGCACGUGACGGUACCUGCAGAAGAAGCACCGGCUAACUACGUGACAGCAGCCGCGGCCG